GAGGAGAGCCCCAGGGGCCACACAGGAGAGACCUGGAAGGCUGUAUAUGACCUCUGGAUCUGAGGUUCCCCAGCAUUGGUAUAGACUCUUGGGCAUCCUUGGUUAGUAGAUGCGGAAUCCAGAAUUCUGAGUGACACACAUUCCAUUCAGCUGUUACCUAACAAAGGAGUUGCAGGGCUGCACCUUUAGCUUUACCUCCUUGCUAAACACUCACCCUACAGCCCUUUUGUACUCACAUUGCCUCUUCGUGCAAGCAAACAGCUACAGUGCCACUCAGUGUUCACACGUUAACAACAGUGAAACACGGAAUGUAAUACGGAGCAUCCUCUUGGGUGUCCCAUUCACUUCAGAUCCAGGGUACUGCUAGUGGACCUGAUGAUGCCACAUGGUUAAUGGUUUUUGGAAGACUCAGAGCCUGGAGCGAACAAGCAUCUUCUCUCAGCUUACAGUGAGAAUUGCUAUAGCUCUCUCAGCAGCUGGGACAAUAUGAGUCCCUACCACUGAGCCACAAAGGCAUCCUUGGACUUCUGGUUAACAACAGCAGGUGAAGAAGAAAAGUUGUAACUGCAUAGACACCAAAUGUUCGAAAGAUUUAAGAUUUGGGGUAUAUUUUUAAUGCAGGAGAUAAACGAAGAUAUAAUUUAGCUGGCCACCCUGAUGGAUCAAAAUGCCAGAACUCACCUUUCUCUCAAUUUAAGUAUUACAGAGUAAUAAGAAUUGUAAAUUUGGAACUCUGGCUAGAGAAGACAUUUCAACUGUAGUAUAGCGUCAGGUUGAUAAUUCCUACUAGAGUAACUUUUAAAAGGACAAAAAAGUUCUGUGAAAUUGUGUACAAUUUUUAAUGUAUUUGGAAAAUUUGAGCGGCAAGGCAUCAUUAAAAGUGAUAAAUGGGGGAAAGAAUAAGCAAAUGGGGUUGUGUGAUAUAUGACUGAGUAUGUACAAAAGGUGAGAAGAGGAACUUAGGAUCUAAAAUUCAAUGCCAAAGAGACAGCAAAGGGAGAAAAGAAAAUGGAGGUGAAGGGUAAACCAGAGAGUAUAUGUUUAGUAGAAGUGACAAAAAGAAA
rnacentral:lncRNA from 1 species